GCUUUCGUCCGCGCAGUUCAAUGGACAGAAUGUUGGCCACCGGAGCCGGAGAUUCGGGUUCGACUCCCGAUGGGAGCGCCA
rnacentral:tRNA from 1 species